GUAAAGGAGGCCAGUGCCAUGGGGGUUAUCUCACAGUCCCAGAUGAUGGCUAAGUUGAAGAAGGCAGAAUCGCUUUUGGAUGACAUUCAGGUCUGAAUGAUGAUUUAGAGAAGAAAAGGCUAUUCUUUCCAA